AUUGAACGCUGGCGGCAUGCCUUACACAUGCAAGUCGAACGGCAGCACGGGAGCAAUCCUGGUGGCGAGUGGCGAACGGGUGAGUAAAGUAUCGGAACGUGCCCAGUCGUGGGGGAUAACGUAGCGAAAGUUACGCUAAUACCGCAUACGAUCUAUGGAUGAAAGCGGGGGAUCGCAAGACCUCGCGCGAUUGGAGCGGCCGAUAUCAGAUUAGGUAGUUGGUGGGGUAAAGGCUCACCAAGCCGACGAUCUGUAGCUGGUCUGAGAGGAUGACCGGCCACACUGGUACUGAGACACGGCCCAGACUCCUACGGGAGGCAGCAGUGGGGAAUUUUGGACAAUGGGCGAAAGCCUGAUCCAGCCAUGCCGCGUGCAGGAUGAAGGCCUUCGGGUUGUAAACUGCUUUUGUACGGAACGAAAAGGUUUGGCCUAAUAAGCUGAGCUCAUGACGGUACCGUAAGAAUAAGCACCGGCUAACUACGUGCCAGCAGCCGCCGUAA
rnacentral:rRNA from 1 species